AAACAAUAUACAGUAUAGUAUUUAUUUCCUUAUAGCAAAGAAGCUAGAGUCAGCCAGUGUAUACAGGAAAUGAAACUUCGCCCAUGCCUUUUUCAACUCCUGACGGAAGUGUACCAGCCCUUGGAAUGUAAAUUAGCUAUAUAUGAUUAAUCUGCGUAGGAAUAAUUAUUUAACAAUCGCAAUUAUGUGGUUCAAUGAGGGUAUUAAAGUGAAAACAAAAAGACAAUGAAAAGUGCUAGGUUCUGAACAGGCAAGCAACGAGUCUUGGUAUAUUUAUGACACAGAAGAUUCUAUUACUCGUUUCUGAUAUGUCGAUCGUGCGUUGGAUCUUACUGGGGUUACCAUUAUGUGUGCUAAGGAUCAAUGGUUUUUCAUUGAGUGUUACGAGAGGAUAUCAGGAUUCGAUAUAUACAAAUAUUCAACAAGAAUCAACUCGUCGUUUAAUAUGUGACGGUAAUAACGUUUGUAAAUGUGAAGAUGGUUUAACUUAUAUCUUCGAUAGUGACUCGUUGUCGGGAAAAUGUGUUAAAGAUUAUGAAAUAAUCAAAGAUAGAUCUA